rnacentral:rRNA from 1 species
UACGUAGGGGGGCUAGCGUUGUCCGGAUUUAUUGGGCGUAAAGAGCGUGUAGGCGGCCAGGUAGGCCUGCUGUGAAAACUCGAGGCUCAACCUCGAGACGUCGGCGGAAACCAUCUGGCUAGAGUCCGGAAGAGGAAAGUGGAAUUCCUGGUGUAGCGGUGAAAUGCGCAGAUAUCAGGAGGAACACCUAUUGCGAAGGCAGCUCGCUGGGACGCAACUGACGCUGAGACGCGAAAGCGUGGGGAGCAAACAGG